CCUACGGGAGGCAGCAGUGGGGAAUAUUGCACAAUGGGCGAAAGCCUGAUGCAGCAACGCCGCGUGAACGAAGAAGGCUCUUGGGUCGUAAAGUUCUGUUCUGAGGGAAGAAGAAAGUGACGGUACCUCAGGAGAAAGCCCCGGCUAACUACGUGCCAGCAGCCGCGGUAAUACGUAGGGGGCAAGCGUUGUCCGGAAUUAUUGGGCGUAAAGAGUACGUAGGCGGUCUGUUAAGCGCAAGGUGAAAGGCAUAGGCUCAACCAAUGUGAGCCUUGCGAACUGGCAGACUUGAGUGCAGGAGAGGA
rnacentral:rRNA from 1 species